UACAGAGGUCUCAAGCGUUGUUCGGAUUCAUUGGGCGUAAAGGGUGUGUAGGUGGCGCCGUAAGUCGGGUGUGAAAUUUCGGAGCUUAACUCCGAAACUGCAUUCGAUACUGGCGUGCUUGAGGACUGGAGAGGAGACUGGAAUUCAUGGUGUAGCAGUGAAAUGCGUAGAGAUCAUGAGGAAGACCAGUGGCGAAGGCGGGGUCUCUGGACAGUUCCUGACACUGAGACACGAAGGCCAGGGGAGCAAACGGG
rnacentral:rRNA from 1 species